CCAAAGUCUCGCCGGUAAGCUUCUUAAAUUAUUUUUUCCGCUACUACCCACUUUUACAAGCCAAGAAAAUGGGGAAAAAGAAAAGCAAAUUUAAAUUGUAAAAAGCAAGGAAAUUCAAUUUUAGAAAGCAAAAACAAAAGGAGAGAAACACAUGGCAGAGGUCGACUGUUUAUGACAACUCAGACAUCAUCGAAAAAAGAAAAAAAAAGAAAAUCAUUUAUCACGUCGCUCGUAACGAAGACCCAAAGAUUUUGGCUCCCGAAAACCAUCGCAACCAAAACCUUUACACAUUUUCCUCCGACACACAAACCGUUAUAGCAUGAGCUAUUGAUGACAACGUUAGGAUUUCCGACGAGGUAUUGUUUCUCGAUCGCCCGCUGUAAUUUUCAAGGGCUUUCACUUGUUGUCAGAGACCCAAAUUGAUUCACCCUUUCCAUUUCUUG
rnacentral:lncRNA from 1 species